CCUCGCACACACACUGUACGGGACCCCGCUGCAGGUGCGCACACCGCCCUCACACACACACGCACACCCACACACACGCUGUACGGGACCCUGCUGCAGGUGCGCACACUGCCCUCACACACACACGCACACCCACACACACGCUGUACGGGACCCUGCUGCAGGUGCGCACACUGCCCUCUCACACACCCACACGCAUGCUGUACGGGACCCUGCUGCAGGUGUGCACACCACCCUUACAUACAUGCUGUACGGGACCCUGCUGCAGGUGUGCACACCACCCUCACACACACGCUGUACGGGACCCUGCUGCAGGUGUGCACACGGCCCUCACACACACAUGUACACCCACACACACACUGUAUGGGACCCUGCUGCAGGUGUGCACACCGCCCUCACACACGC